CAAAGCAGCAGCAGCACGGCAAACAGAAAGUGCAGCUACCUCGGUCUCCAGCACGUCGGCAAAGUUACGACGCCCAUAACAAGCAGAAAUUCAGGUUGGAGUUAAGAUGGAGUCGACACCAGUGGAGCUCGACGGCAGCGUGAUGGAGGGCGUGAGUGACGACACAAGACGUCCCCGAGCAAGUUCGCAGCCCGCUGCUGGCUCCUGACUUGCCGGCGUCCUGUUCUGUGCUGUGCUGUUCUGUCCUGUCUAGGGGUGCAACGAUACAUCGAUACACAUCGAUUAAUCGAUAUAAUGCUCUACGAUUUAUUGGCAUCGAUGCUAAAGGUAAACAUCGAUUUAUAUCGCCGCGUUUGACCUCGGACAUUAGACGCGACUUUAUUUUGAAACCCAGUUCAUUGUUGCUUGCUUCCUCUUUCCGGGAGCGCACUGCGCGUGUUGUGAGCAGAACACGCACGUGAAAGGGGAGUCGACAACUAGUACGCGGCUCCUGGGCUGGUGCUAUGGCUAGUGUCCAAAAAGACGAGGAAAUUUGCUCCCCUUUAGGCUUCAAGUCAUUCUUUUGGAAGCACUUUGGAUUCCAAAGACAAGAUGGCUCAACGGACAAGACACGUACAGUUUGUAAAUCCUGCCAUGCAGUGAUCAAAUAUUCAGGGAGCACAAAUCUCGCCGCACAUUUAAAGAAAAAACACGACAUCAAAGUUCAGUGUUAAAAUAAGCACUUUGUAUACUACAAUACUCUUGUAAUUUCCUAAAUAAAGAGUUUGCAGUACCUUGUUGAUUUUGCGUAUGAAUUGUUAUAAAUCAGGUUAUUGUUCUAUAUUUUUUAUUUUAAAAAAAAUCGAUCGUAGAGCACUAUAUCGCGAUAUAUCGUGAAUGAAUCGCAGCAGGCUUUAGGAUAUCGGCAAAUAUCGUAUCGUAGUUCUUUGUAUCGAUAUUAUAUCGUAUCGUGACAAAACCCGCGAUUUACACCCCUAGUCCUGUCCUAUCCCCCUAUGUUUCGUCCGCUUCCUUCUCUGGGUUGUCUCCUCUUGCCUUCCUCCUUUGUCGUUGCUUCCUCGCAGGGCGGCCAAAUUUUGAGAGUGGCGGCGGCGCUCAGCUGCAUCAGCGGUUCAUCCGUCACGAUCGCCAAAGUCCGAGCAGGAAGGAGCACCCCGGGACUCAGGCCUCAACACCUGAGCGGCCUUCAGCUGGUUUCCGACAUGUGCGGCGGUGUCCUGCGUGGCGGCGCCAUCGGCAGUGCCAACGUCAGCCUGACGCCGGGGAAGAUUCGAGCUGGAAAGUACACAGCGGACACACGCACGGCAGGGAGUGUGUGUCUUUUACUGCAGGUGGCGCUGCCCUGCGCGCUCUAUGCCAACGCCACCACCACCAUGUGCCUCCGAGGAGGAACCAACACAGAGAUGGCGCCGCAAAUCGAUUACAUUCUCAAGGUCUUCAAACCCAUUGUGGAAAAGUUUGGAGUCAGUUUUGACUGUGACAUCAAAAUGAGAGGUUUUUUCCCAAAGGGUGGCGGCGAGGUGACCGCGACGGUGCGGCCGGUCAAAGAGUUGCAGGCACUCACCUUGCUGGAGAGAGGAACGAUCACCAAGAUUCACGGGUGGGCCUACGUGGCCGGCAUCCUGCCUUUCAGGCUGGCCAAGGACAUGGCAGCGGCCGCCAUGCGCACCAUCCAGCGAGAAAUCAAGGAGCUGGAUGUCAACAUUCAAGUGUUGCAGGAGGAGAAAGAGAAGGCCUGCGCAAACGGAAACGGAAUCAUAGGCCAAGCUGAGGUGUGCACCAUAUACGCGGAGGCUGCCCAAGCGUUUGAAACCGCACCUUUUGCUUUGCAGCGCCAGUGUGAAUGUUCAGCACCUCAACCUACACACAACAAUUUUUGCAGAGUCUUCCACAGGGUGUCUGUUUGCAGGUUGCGCUCUGGGCAAGAAAGGUGUGUCCGCAGACAAAAUUGGCAUAGAAGCUGGAGAGAAGCUACUCAGAAACAUAUGCCACAACGGCUGCGUUGAUGAAUUCCUCCAGGACCAGCUCAUCGUCUUCAUGGCGUUGGCCAAGGGGACCUCUCGGAUCCGAACGGGCGCCAUCAGCCUACACACGCAGACCGCCAUCCACGUGGCCCAGCAGAUGACACAGGCAAAGUUUGCAAUAAGAAAAUGUGAGGAUGAGU